GAGAAAUACUUUCCCGAGCAAUGCCAGAAGUCCGCAAGAGGGUAAGAAGGCCAUAUGGUCCCCCUGAGGCUAAGAGAGGGCCCCUUAAGCUACUGGGGCGGUAGAGGACCUUGCAGUACCAGUCCAGGGCAAGAACUUUUACACAGAGUUCCUGAUCCUCCUCACAGUGGUAUAGAUCUGGAGUUCUCUAUUAAUGUCAAUGGAUUUAUACCGGUAUAAAAAACACUGGUAUAACUGAGAGGAAAAGGACUUGUAUACAGGGGCCCCACAAAAUCUAAUAGCCC